rnacentral:rRNA from 1 species
UACAGAGGGUGCGAGCGUUAAUCGGAAUUACUGGGCGUAAAGCGUGCGUAGACGGCUAUCUAAGUCGGAUGUGAAAGCCCUGGGCUCAACCCAGGAAGUGCAUUCGAAACUGCAGAGCUGGAGUCCUGGAGAGGAAGGCGGAAUUCUCGGUGUAGAGGUGAAAUUCGUAGAUAUCGAGAGGAACACCGGUGGCGAAGGCGGCCUUCUGGACAGUGACUGACGCUGAGACGCGAAAGCGUGGGGAGCAAACAGG